rnacentral:rRNA from 1 species
AGGCUUGAACAGCGAGGGACCAUUCCCCGAAAGGGAACUUCCGCAAGGACUCUCGUAGAGGUGCUGCAUGGCUGUCGUCAGCUCGUGUCGUGAGAUGUUGGGUUAAGUCCCGCAACGAGCGCAACCCUUGUUUGCUGUUGCCAUCACGUUAUGGUGGGCACUCUGCAAAGACUGCCGGUGAUAAACCGGAGGAAGGUGGGGAUGACAUCAAGUCAGCAUGGCCUUUAUGUCUGGGGCUACACACGUGCUACAAUGGCCGGUACAAACCGUCGCAAAACCGUAAGGUCGAGCUAAUCGGACAAAGCCGGUCUCAGUUCGGAUUGUAGGCUGCAACUCGCCUGCAUGAAGUUGGAAUCGCUAGUAAUCGCGGAUCAGCACGCCGCGGUGAAUACGUUCCCGGGCCUUGUACACCACCGCCCGUCACAUCACGAAAGCCGGUUGUACUAGAAGUCGCCAUACCAACCCGCGAAGGGAGGGAGGCGCCUAAGGUAUGGUCGGUGAUUGGGGUGAAGUCGUAACAAGGUAAGCGUAGUGCU